GGGGUGGCACAGACCAGGGGGUAGCGACUGUUUACCAAAAACACAGGAGCGUGCGAAGGCGCAAGCCGCUGUAUACGCUCUGACGCCUGCCCGGUGCCGGAAGGUUAAGAGGAUCCGUCAGGCUUCGGCCGAAGCGGUGAAUUCAAGCCCCGGUAAACGGCGGUGGUAACUAUAACCAUCCUAAGGUAGCGAAAUUCCUUGUCGGGUAAGUUCCGACCUGCACGAAUGGCGUAACGACUUCCCCACUGUCUCGACCAGGAGCUCGGCGAAAUUGCAGUACGAGUAAAGAUGCUCGUUAAGCGCAGAAGGACGAAAAGACCCCGGGACCUUUACUAUACCUUGGUAUUGGCAUUCGGUGUGGAUUGUGUAGCAUAGGCGGAAGGCUUCGAAGCCACGGCGCCAGCCGCGGUGGAGCCGCAAGGUGAAAUACCGCUCUGUUCGCAUUGGAUGUCUAACCUCGACCAGUCAUCCUGGUCAGGGACAGUGCCUGGCGGGUAGUUUAACUGGGGCGGUUGCCUCCCAAAGAGUAACGGAGGCGCUCAAAGGUUCCCUCAGCCCGGUUGGCAAUCGGGUGGCGAGUGUAAGUGCACAAGGGAGCUUGACUGCGAGACUGACGGGUCGAGCAGGGACGAAAGUCGGAACUAGUGAUCCGGUGCCGGUGUACGGACGCGGCAUCGCUCAACGGAUAAAAGGUACCCCGGGGAUAACAGGCUGAUCAUUCCCAAGAGUCCAUAUCGACGGGAUGGUUUGGCACCUCGAUGUCGGCUCGUCGCAUCCUGGGGCUGGAGCAGGUCCCAAGGGUUCGGCUGUUCGCCGAUUAAAGCGGCACGCGAGCUGGGUUCAGAACGUCGUGAGACAGUUUGGUCUCUAUCCUCUGCGCUCGUCGGAAUGUUGAGGAGGCCUGCCCAUAGUACGAGAGGACCUGGGUGGACGAACCUCUGGUAUGCCGGUUGUCACGCCAGUGGCACGGCCGGUUGGCUACGUUCGGAAGGGAUAACCGCUGAAAGCAUCUAAGCGGGAAGCCUGCUCCAAGAUAAGCAUUCCAUAGGACUACGGGUCCUUGAAGUCCCCAUGCAGAACACGUGGUUGAUAGGCCGGACGUGGAAGCCCCGCGAGGGGUGGAGCCGACCGGUACUAACGGACGAAAGGCAACACAAC
rnacentral:rRNA from 1 species